GCUACCACGGAUACAGGUACCAAAGAGCCAGGUACACAUGAAACAACAGCCAUCAAUACAGCUACCACAGAUACAGGUACCAAAGAGCCAGGUACACAUGAAACAACAGCCAUCAAUACAGCUACCACAGAUACAGGUACCAAAGAGCCAG